CGGACGGGUGAGUAACGCGUGAGAAUUUGCCUUUAGGAGGGGGAUAACAACUGGAAACGGUUGCUAAUACCCCAUAUGCUUUCGAGUGAAAUGGAUUUAUCCGCCUAAAGAGAAGCUUGCGGCUGAUUAGCUUGUUGGUGAGGUAAUGGCUCACCAAGGCGACGAUCAGUAUCUGGUUUGAGAGGACGAUCAGACACACUGGAACUGAGACACGGUCCAGACUCCUACGGGAGGCAGCAGUGGGGAAUUUUCCGCAAUGGGCGAAAGCCUGACGGAGCAAUACCGCGUGAGGGAUGAAUGCCUAUGGGUUGUAAACCUCUUUUUUCAGGGAGGAACAAAAUGACGUGUACCUGAAGAAUAAGCAUCGGCUAACUCCGUGCCAGCAGCCGCGGUAAGACGGAGGAUGCAAGUGUUAUCCGGAAUCACUGGGCGUAAAGCGUCUGUAGGUGGUCAAAUAAGUCAACUGUUAAAUCUUGAGGCUCAACCUCAAAAUCGCAGUCGAAACUAUUAGACUAGAGUAUAGUAGGGGUAAAGGGAAUUUCCAGUGGAGCGGUGAAAUGCGUAGAGAUUUGGAAAGAACACCGAUGGCGAAGGCUCUUUACUGGGCUAUUACUAACACUCAGAGACGAAUGUUAGGGUAGCAAUUGGGAUUAGAUACCCCAUUAGUC
rnacentral:rRNA from 1 species